rnacentral:rRNA from 1 species
GAGAGAGACAUGCGCGCAUAUCAAUAAGCGGAGGAAAAGAAACUAACAAGGAUUCCCUUAGUAACGGCGAGUGAAGCGGGAAGAGCUCAAAUUUGAAAUCUUCAAGGUUUUACCUUGACGAAUUGUAGUUUAAAGAAGUGUUUUCUGCUGAAGUUUUGGUAAAAGUUCUUUGGAAUAGGACAUCAUAGAGGGUGAGAAUCCCGUAUUUGACCAUUAUUUUCAGCUUUGUGAUACACUUUCAAAGAGUCGGAUUGUUUGGGAAUGCAGUCCAAAAUGGGUGGUAAAUUUCAUCUAAAGCUAAAUAUUGGCGAGAGACCGAUAGCGAACAAGUACCGUGAGGGAAAGAUGAAAAGAACUUUGAAAAGAGAGGUUAAACAGUACGUGAAAUUGUCAAAAGGGAAGCGUUUGACACCAGUGUUGUUUUCUCGAAAAUCAAUUAAAAAUGGCUCGAUUUUGUAUUGUUGAGACCUUAAAAGCUCACUGUACAUUUUUCGUGUCUUUUUUAAUGCACUUUUCGUUUAACAAGUCAACAUCAGUUUCUUUUGUUGUAAAAGGGUCAUUGGAAGGUGGCUUUCUUUCGGAGAAAGUGUUUAUAGCCUUGGCCUCUGCAAUCGGAGAGACUGAGGUCUGCAGCGUAGACUCUUCGGGGUUAGAUACAUUUGUGCUAAGUUAUAGCUUUUUAUAGACAACUUGUUGACUAUAAUUAGUCUUGUAGCUUACUCGCUUAUGCUAUUUUACCUACGCUUAGGAUGUUGAGUCGUAGAGCACGCAG